UGUCAUCGAGGCGUUACUGCUAAGGUGACGAUCAUACCGCGAUAUAUAAAUGUUUCCGAUCUACACAUCGCACACCUUAAACUUACCCAAUAAAUGGGUCAAGCAGAAUGAGAGCGGAAUCUUCUUUGCCAAGACGACACGGCGUAUACCGGAUAUAUGCGCCCAAGUGAGCGAAUCUGAUCCCCACGGGAAGUCGGUUCAUCUCACAAACCAUCAGAACCCUGAGAUCCACACUGAGACUCCCGAGAUCCCAGAGCUGACAGAAAAGUGUGAGGAGGUCCAGGGACUGGUUUUCCUGAGACAAAAGGACGAACUGUAUCGAGAGGUCCCUGCAUGUCACAGAAAACAAGCCCAAGCCACAUCUCUUGGGAGAGAUGUUUGGCCUGAAGAGAGAAACUUGCAAUCCCCAGUGGUAAUUCAGACCAAACCGGUGGCUGUGUCUUUCCCAGUUUUUAAAAAAUGCUAUGUAAAAAAAAAAAAAAAAAAAUGUAUUUGUACUAGUUUUGUUUUCCUGAUGAACAUGGCAUUUAGUUUCCAAGUCCAAGUUCUAAUGGCCCUCCACAGGUUUUCUUAUGCAAAUUAGCAUACCAAUUUGCAGAUAGGUAAUAACUACAUGCCUGUCUGAAGAUCACCACCGUUCAAACAUGUCCAUUGCCAUUCUUGUGUCUCCUUAGAUAUACAUUUUUGGGAGAUCACGGCUCAAGUUAGAAGUGAAAAAUGCUUCUAGCUUCCCGUGACAGUUCCUCUGUCUAGAAAGCAAUCAAAGGCUGCAUUUUUAGUAACUAGAUGCUGUUUUGAUGGCUUAAUCCCUCUGAUUUUACAGUCCAGUCUUUCCUGGGUAGAGUCCCGAACCUGAAUCUGAAAGUUCCUUAACUUUACAUACACAGAAAAGAUUUCAAAACUGAUCUGUUCCCGAUACCUCCAAGGUUCAUUUGAUGUGGGCGAACCAGACACAAAAACCAGCGUUGCUCCGAAUUCCCCGAUUAUCUCCAUGAAAGCAGCAGUGAGAAAUUCGUGCCAAACCUGACCCAGCCAUACUGAAUUUCAUGGUGGGAGCUUCAGUUAAGAAGAGUCAAAGAUUCCCUGGCUUCUCACCAAUCUGUCUACUAAUAAAUACACUGACUGUUUUAACAUACAAGUGAAACAGAUGCUAUAUUUUGCACUGAUAGGUUUUCUUGGGAAAA